GGUAUUCAGAGGGAUCUGGAUGUUGUCCCUUUGUACAUGACCACAAAGUUAACAUGCAGAUUUUUCCAGUGGCUUCCUGAGCGAAUCCGACUCCCUUGUCGCAGAAUAAUGUGCAGACCCUCGCCGUGUCGGCAAUCGAGACGUUGCUGCACUCGAUCCUGCUGGGAAAGCCUGCUGUGACAAAGCAGAGCACUGACGGUAAGAACUGUUCGUGUUUUGGGGACCACCAGCUGAUGGCAACUUCUUAUAAACAAAAGCCUUUUAUGUGAAGUGAAAAAACUAUGUAUGUUUGGAAGUGUGAAAUAAAAAC